GACAGAGGCCUCGAGCGUUAGGCGGAAUCACUGGGCUUAAAGCGUGUGUAGGCGGCAGCGUAAGUACCUUGUGAAAUCCCACGGCUCAACCGUGGAACUGCUGGGUAUACUGCGUUUCUUGAGCAAUCUAGGGGCGAGUGGAACGGAUGGUGGAGCGGUGAAAUGCAUAGAUAUCAUCCGGAACGCCUGUGGUGAAGACGACUCGCUGGGGAUUUGCUGACGCUGAGACACGAAAGCCAGGGGAGCAAACGGG
rnacentral:rRNA from 1 species